AUUUGAUAGGACAACUACUUUAGUCUUUAUUUAUAACCUAAUUAAUGUUAGAAUCCUUAAAUUUAACAAUAACAAAGCAAUAACGCCUCUGUUUUGGUAAAAAUCUGAAGACGUGUCUGGGUAAAUGUAACCUUUCUCAAAUUCAUAGACAGAGAUAUGGACGCAAGGACUACUGUAACCAUCCAAGAUACAGAAAUGCAUGGGUUCUGAACAGGUGGCCUGAAAACCAGGACACUUUACCUGAGCCUGAGGAGAAGAGAAGCCCUGACAACUAACCAAUGCAUUUUGCCAGGACUCCUGAAGGGAUGAGCUGGGCUGGAGGAUGCAUGGCAUCAUCGCGGGCAACAGGGACACUUUGUUAUACAGUAUGAGGUGACUGAGGAGCUGAACAGACAUAUCCUGCAGUAUGACAUUCAGCUGCUACUACUAGGAAGUGAAAACGCUGAUUUUCUACUAAGUGAGAUGUGAAAUAACAACUAAUC
ensembl:lncRNA